rnacentral:rRNA from 1 species
UACGUAGGGGGCUAGCGUUAUCCGGAAUUACUGGGCGUAAAGGGUGCGUAGGUGGUUUCUUAAGUCAGAGGUGAAAGGCUACGGCUCAACCGUAGUAAGCUUUUGAAACUGGGGAACUUGAGUGCAGGAGAGGAGAGUGGAAUUCCUAGUGUAGCGGUGAAAUGCGUAGAUAUUAGGAGGAACACCAGUUGCGAAGGCGGCUCUCUGGACUGUAACUGACACUGAGGCACGAAAGCGUGGGGAGCAAACAGG